AUUGAACGCUGGCGGCAGGCCUAACACAUGCAAGUCGAACGAGUGGCGGACGGGUGAGUAAUGUCUGGGAAACUGCCCGAUGGAGGGGGAUAACUACUGGAAACGGUAGCUAAUACCGCAUACCAUCGGAUGUGCCCAGAUGGGAUUAGCUUGUAGGUGGGGGAAAGGCUCACCUAGGCGACGAUCCCUCGCUGGUCUGAGAGGAUGACCAGCAACACGGGAACUGAGACACGGUCCAGACUCCUACGGGAGGCAGCAGUGGGGAAUAUUGCACAAUGGGCGCAAGCCUGAUGCAGCCAUGGCGGGUGUAUGAAGAAGGCCUUCGGGUUGUAAAGUACUUUCAGCGGGGAGGCGUUACCCGCAGAAGAAGCACCGGCUAACUCCGUGCCAGCAGCCGCGGUAAUAC
rnacentral:rRNA from 1 species